CCACUCCAAUCUACUCAACGAGCUGCCCCUUGCAGGGGCUUGGCCAGUGCAAGACCCGCGCAAGAGCUCUACCGCUCCCGGGAGAAGGUGGUUCUUGAAAACAAACCUGUCCUUAAAAAGACGGAGCUGUGGCGGGAGCGGGCAUGCCUAUGGACCCAGCACUCCCAGACCACGUGAAGCACACACGGAGGGGAGUCACAAUGACAUCAUCUCAGCCCGGACCCAGCCAUCAGGAGCCAGGAAACGGUGGUCAUUUUGCUAUGAAUAUGAAAGCCCCAGGACAUCGCCCAGCACUUUGCAAGAUGAUCAGCGGACAUUGCCUGAAUGACUGGACCCGCGAUACACAGAGUGUGUGCAUCAUACUUCUUUCUGAAGCUGAGGAUCUUAACAAGGUGGGAAAAUUAAAGCAAGGAGAAGUCAAAAGACAUGCCCACGGCCACACCACUCAUUGAAUUUACAGCAGGGGAAGGACUUCCAACUCUGAGGCAAUAUUCAAUUGACAUGCAUUCUACAAUAAACAUUU